rnacentral:misc_RNA from 1 species
AAGUCGUAACAAGGUUUCCGUAGGUGAACCUGCGGAAGGAUCAUUCCCAAUAAAUAAUUUUUUUGCUUAAACUUAUUAACUUGUUGUUGAACCCACUCUUUUUUUUUUUUUUUUAACCCACACAAAAUCCCAAUCAUUGAUAAUUAUUAUAUAACUAAAAUAACAAUUUUAAUUGUUGAUUGAUGGCUUGCUGCUGAUGGGGUGCAGGACUAGCAAUCCUGUCCCUCCCCAGCUAUUAACCAUCUAACCAACAAUCGAGAUAAACAAUAAUUGAUUAAGCGCACAACUCUUAACAAUGGAUAUCUCGGCUCUUGC